rnacentral:rRNA from 1 species
UGGGGAAUAUUGCACAAUGGGGGAAACCCUGAUGCAGCCAUGCCGCGUGUGUGAAGAAGGCCUUCGGGUUGUAAAGCACUUUCAGCGGGGAGGAAGGGAAUAUGGCUAAUAUCCAUGUUCAUUGACGUUACCCGCAGAAGAAGCACCGGCUAACUCCGUGCCAGCAGCCGCGGUAAUACGGAGGGUGCAAGCGUUAAUCGGAAUAACUGGGCGUAAAGCGCACGCAGGCGGUUUGAUUAGUCAGAUGUGAAAUCCCCGGGCUCAACCUGGGAACUGCAUUUGAAACUGUCAAACUAGAGUCUUGUAGAGGGGGGUAGAAUUCCAGGUGUAGCGGUGAAAUGCGUAGAGAUCUGGAGGAAUACCAGUGGCGAAGGCGGCCCCCUGGACAAAGACUGACGCU